UGGACCCGUGGCAGGCCCCCUGAACAGUUUUGUCGCUGCUGCCGGGCCCAUGGCUGUCCGCCGGAGACCCAGCGUUCCCUCCAGUGGACUAGAGGCAGGGUGUGUAUGUGUGUGGUCUGCGGGUGUGGCUGGAGGAUAGAGGACAGCCGCAUGCAGGCCUGAUGGGUGUGGCCCUGCAGGAGGACUGGCCACACCUGAAGUUCCUGCCACACACCUGUUGGUGAUCAGUGCUCGUCGGGGGAGCUACUUAGGAGAGUGGAGCUUCCACCGGCGCGGGAUCAUUGAGUUAGCAUAUCGAGAGGAAGAGUGGUCCAGAGAGGCAGCACGCACGGGGGUGCGGAAACACAACCGCGGGGAGCACGAGCACAGACAUCGGAGGGAAGCACGCACACGGGUUCAAGGGAGCAACGGGGAGUCAUUGUGUUUACAGUUUUUCACUGUAAAUAAAGAGCACUGUUUGCAUCGCAGAGACUGCGUUUUGGGUCCUCCUUUCCCCACAUCCCCACGGUCUGCCUGGCGGACCGUGACAAGUGAUUAAAAAAUAAAACAGAAACACAUACCCCAGCAGACAAGGUCUCACAGCUGCAAAGAGAGUAUGAACAGCUCCUCCUCCUCAGAAACAUAAAGUUGGGGGUGAAGAUGAGGCCUGUUUCACUCUCUCACUGUCGGCCAUGAUAUUACAACUG
ensembl:lncRNA